GGAGGUGAGCUCUCUUCUGCUUCAGCCUUUGUUUUCUUGUACGAUUCGAGAGCGGAUGAGAGAAACGCGAGGUUGAGCGACGGAAGGAUAUUGAGGGUUUGAGUGAGCACGCUUGAGAGAAGAGUAAGGUUGAGUGAGAGAGGUGGGUGAACGAGCUUUGAGAGAGGUGAGUGAGCGAGCUUUGUGAGGGAGACGGAUCCAUUUUUGUUUUUUCUUUCUUUAUUUUCUUUUUUUUCAAUUUAUUAUUAAAUAGAGUAAGUAGUUUUU
rnacentral:lncRNA from 1 species